CAGAGCUAGAAGACAUAGACAAGGAUGAGAAGAGCUAUUCUUAGGGGAGAGCCAGAUUUCAGUAUGUGCUCAUGUUUGGGAGCUUAUGCUCUGGAAUCACCGGCUUCAGACCUUGACUCUACCACUUGAUGUGGGAUGAGAAAACUGGUCCAGAGAAGGGGACUUGAUGAUGCCAGUGACGGAACCAGGAUGAGAACUCGCAUCUCCUGAUUCUCUUGCGCUUUAUUUCAUCACACAUAUGAAAGAAGAUGAGAAACGUUCAGCAUUCAGUAGUGGGGACCACUUUGAGAUUAGUUUGUCAAUUGCCAUAUAAGUAUGCUUUUGCUUGGUAUAUCUGUGUAAAGCAAUAUGUACUCUAUGUACUAAAGGUACAUGAUAAUUAUGACUUGAGGACAAUACAAAGACUGACUGGUUUGUGAUUAAACAUUUCACAUAGUAGGAGGUGCUUGGAUAUUAUUAUCUUUAAAACAAAUGUAAAACUGAUUUCAAACUAAAGCAUGAGUAUUUUAACAAAUAUAUCAAAUAUCAGAGAGGAAGGAGGAAGGAUUUUAGAACAAUUAACCUGGAAAAUGUGAUUAUUUUUGACAUGUUUUCACAUUCCUACAAUACAAGUCACUUGACAAAAAUGACCUAAAAAGUUUUUCUUUUUUUUUCUGUGCCAUCUUCUCAGCUCCCAACCAUGUCAUUUUAACUAACAGAAUUGCAGCCUAUUUGUACUUUUUUCCUUCUGCAUCAGUUUCGAUUCCUUUUUAUAUACUUGCUUUUAUCUAGG